GUCUAUGGCCAUGCCACCCUGAACACGCCCAAUCUUGUCUGAUCGUGGAAGCUAAGCAGGGUCGGGCCUCGUUAGUACUUGGAUAGGAGACCACCACCUAGGAAGACCAGGUGCUGUAGGCA
rnacentral:rRNA from 1 species